ensembl:lncRNA
CAUAGAUUAGAUAAGAGGGCAACAGUCAGACCGUCCAAUCAAAGAACUCUAAUCCAUAUCCCUUGCAAAAAGAUUCCAUCCACUCAAACACAGAUAAAUCUCAAACAUGCUGUACUCAAUGCCAGAUCGUUAAAAAACAAGUCCUUUUUAAUAAAUAGUUUUAUUUCUUCUUAUAAUCUAGAUUUUAUGUUUUUAACUGAAACAUGGCUUGACAAAAACACUGGUAACGCAGUUUUGAUUGAGUGUAGCCCAUCAAAUUUCAAUUUUGUGUCUGAAACACGCCAAAAUCAGAGGGGCGGGGGUGUCUGUGCAAUAUUUAGGGACAAUAUAGUCAUCCACAAAUUGUCAUUUGGGGUUUUUGUAUCAUUUGAGUAUGUGUCUUUCAAAAUGGAGAUAAAACAAUCUUCCAUUCUUUAUAUGACUAUUUACAAACCACCACAGAAUUGUUUUAUCGAAGACUUCACUGAAUUACUUUCAUUUAUAUGCACUGAUUUUGAUUGUUUAGUAAUUUCAGGUGAUUUUAAUGUGCAUGUGGAUGUGACCAAUGACAGGCAUGCAAAAGAACUUAAUGCUGUUCUUGAAAUGUUUGGUUUAACUCAGCACGUGAGUGAGGCGACCCACAACAAAGGUCACACUCUAGAUCUAGUUAUUACAAAAGGUGUUAAUAUAUCAAAUGUGAAUGUUGUUGAUGUUGCUUUAUCUGAUCAUUUUUGUGUCUUUUUUGACUUGUCUGUUGCACCCAAACCAGUGGUUGGGCCUGGAGUUAUUCAGAGAAGACACAUAAAUGAUACAACAAGGACACAGUUUAUGGAAAUGAUCAGAUUUGAAAAUCCUCCAUGUUCAAAUGUUGAUAAUCUGUUGGACUCUUAUACAUCAAGCGUCUUAAAUGUUUUGGAUACUAUUGCUCCUAUCAAGGUAAAAGUGGUUAACAAUAGACAAAAGGCACCUUGGAGAAGUGAAGAUUCGGUCAGGGCACAGAAAAGGGAGUGCCGAAAAGCCGAAAGGAAAUGGCGUAAGUCAAAGCUCCAGGUUCAUUGUGAGAUAUACAAAGAGUUCAACCAGAUUUUGCGUGGAGAAAGGGAGAAAUACUUCUCUAAAAUCAUCGCAAACUGCAAAAACAAUUCUCGUGUUCUGUUUUCCACAGUAAACAGAUUAACUAACCCUCCAGUUUCACUGCCCUUAGAACUAAUCUCUACAUCUAAGUGCAAUGAGUUUGCAAUAUAUUUUUAUGACAAAGUCCAAGGCAUAAAAAAUGCCAUAAUUUCCACAACACAAAUACCAACCCUGCCACCAGCUAGACACCUUGAGCUGACACAUUUCACUCCUGUUACUGACAAAACAAUCGAAGAGAUUAUCUCCGGUCUGAGUUCAUGUACAUGCUGCCUUGAUGAAUUACCCACUAGAUUUCUGAAGUCUGUGCUGACCAGCUUGUUACCACAACUUGUUCAGUUAGUUAACAUCUCAUUUGAGACUGGAGCAUUUCCAAAGGCCUUGAAAACCGCGGUCAUUAAGCCUCUUCUAAAGAAGAGCAGCCUUGAUCCCAAGGUACUGAACAACUACCGGCCCAUAUCAAACCUACCGUUCUUAGGAAAAGUUCUAGAGAAAGUAAUAUAUCAACAGCUCACUUACUUUCUCCUAUCUAACAAUGUGUUUGAUCCUUUCCAGUCAGGAUUUAGGCCCCAC